UUAAUUGAAGAGUUUGAUCAUGGCUCAGAUUGAACGCUGGCGGCAGGCCUAACACAUGCAAGUCGGGCGGUAACAGGGAGAAGCUUGCUUCUCUGCUGACGAGCGGCGGACGGGUGAGUAAUGUAUGGGGAUCUGCCUGAUGGCGGGGGAUAACUACUGGAAACGGUAGCUAAUACCGCAUAAUGUCUUCGGACCAAAGCGGGGGACCU
rnacentral:rRNA from 1 species